rnacentral:rRNA from 1 species
GCUUAACGCGAAGAACCUUACCAAGGCUUGACAUAUACGAGAACGGGCCAGAAAUGGUCAACUCUUUGGACACUCGUAAACAGGUGGUGCAUGGUUGUCGUCAGCUCGUGUCGUGAGAUGUUGGGUUAAGUCCCGCAACGAGCGCAACCCUCGUUCUAUGUUGCCAGCACGUAAUGGUGGGAACUCAUGGGAUACUGCCGGGGUCAACUCGGAGGAAGGUGGGGAUGACGUCAAAUCAUCAUGCCCCUUAUGUCUUGGGCUUCACGCAUGCUACAAUGGCCGGUACAAAGGGCUGCAAUACCGUAAGGUGGAGCGAAUCCCAAAAAGCCGGUCCCAGUUCGGAUUGAGGUCUGCAACUCGACCUCAUGAAGUCGGAGUCGCUAGUAAUCGCAGAUCAGCAACGCUGCGGUGAAUACGUUCCCGGGUCUUGUACACACCG